rnacentral:rRNA from 1 species
CAGCAGCCGCGGUAACACGAAGGGUGCAAGCGUUACUCGGAAUUACUGGGCGUAAAGCGUGCGUAGGUGGUGGUUUAAGUCCGUUGUGAAAGCCCUGGGCUCAACCUGGGAAUUGCAGUGGAUACUGGGUCACUAGAGUGUGGUAGAGGAUAGUGGAAUUUCCGGUGUAGCAGUGAAAUGCGUAGAGAUCGGAAGGAACAUCUGCGGCGAAGGCGAAUAUCUGGGCCAACACUGACACUGAGGCACGAAAGCGUGGGGAGCAAACAGGAUUAGAUACCCCUGUAGUCCCUGUCUCUUAUAC